rnacentral:rRNA from 1 species
GAUGAACGCUAGCUGCAGGCCUAACACAUGCAAGUCGAGGGGAAACGGCAUUAGGUGCUUGCACUUUUUGGCCGUCGACCGGCGCACGGGUGAGUAACGCGUAUCCAACCUGCCCCUUACCAGGGAAUAACCCGUUGAAAGACGAACUAAUGCCCUAUGCACUCCUUUUUCGGCAUCAGAUUAGGACUAAAGAUUCGUCGUUAUGGCAUGGGGAUGCGCCUGAUUAGCUUGUUGGCGGGGUAACGGCCCACCAAGGCACUGAUCAGUAGAGGUUCUGAGAGGAAGUACGCCCACACAGGAACUGAGACACGGCCCUAACUCCUACGGGAGGCAGCAGUGAGGAAUAUUGGGCAAUGGGCGGUAGCCUGAACGAGCCAAGUAGCGUGCAGGAGGACGGCCCUAUGGGUUGUAAACUGCUUUGAUGCGGAGAUAGAGUCACCGAAGUGUGGGUGUGUGAAGGUACCGAACGAAUAAGGACCGGCUAAUUCCGUG